ensembl:antisense Gm10501 predicted gene 10501
GACGUAGUUCGUCUCUUUUCCCGAUGGUUGUUGAGACUUUUCUCUCUGCCGCGUGAUUAGCUCGUAGUCUACGUUUUCUAUGGGGAAUUAUUGGGAAGAUUGAGAAAAUUAUGACUUGCAUAUUCUUUGAUGAGUAAAAUUUAAAAUGUUGCUAAGAGCUGGACAGCGUUCGUGCCCAACUGGAAUCCUGGAGUUGAGACAGGAGGAUUCUGGUUUAGAGGUCAACUAAAGCUAUUAUAGCAAGACCCUGUGUCAGAGAAUAAAAUAUACACCAGUACACACUGGUUAUGGUGUGUGUGAGUGUGAGAGAGAAACCGGAACACAAAUCCUGAUUCUUAUCAAAGGUUCCCACCAGCUGGUUGGCCUCCAGCCAGGAAAGGACCUCAUUGCAUUUAUCCAGUAUUUUCUUUUUAUCGGACUCGCUGAUCUUGUCCUUCAGACCCUCAUCUCCCACAGCGCUCUUCAUAUUAAAGGCGUACGAUUCUAAAGCAUUUUUGGCAGCGAUUUUCUCCCUCUGGCCCUCAUCCUCCGCUUUGUAGCGCUCGGCCUCCUGCACCAUGCGCUCGAUCUCCUCCUUGCUCAGGCGGCCCUUGUCGUUGGUGAUGGUGAUCUUGUUGGCCUUGCCGGUGCUCUUGUCCAUGGCCGUAACGUUCAGGAUGCCGUUGGCGUCGAUGUCGAAGGUCACCUCGAUCUGCGGCACGCCCCUAGGUGCAGGAGGUAUUCCAGUCAAGUCAAAGCGCCCCAGCAGGUUGUUGUCGCGCGUCAUGGCCCUCUCGCCCUCGUACACCUGGAUCAGCACCCCGGGCUGGUUGUCCGAGUAGGUGGUGAAGAUCUGCGUCUGCUUGGUGGGGAUGGUGGAGUUGCGCUUGAUCAGUACAGUCAUCACACCCCCAGCUGUCUCCAAUCCUAGAGACAGGGGAGCUACGUCCAACAAAAGCAAAUCCUGUACUUUUUCAGAUUUGUCGCCCAUUAAAAUAGCUGCCUGGACUGCAGCUCCGUAGGCGACUGCCUCAUCGGGAUUGAUACUCUUGUUGAGAUCCCGUCCAUUAAAGUAGUCCUGAAGCAGUUUUUGCACCUUUGGGAUGCGGGUGGAGCCCCCUACUAGAACAAUGUCAUGGAUUUUAGCCUUAUCCAUCUUGGCAUCCCGAAGAGACUUUUCCACGGGCUCAAGUGUGCCUCUAAAUAGGUCUGCACACAGCUCUUCAAACCGUGCUCUAGUGAUGGACGUGUAGAAGUCGAUGCCCUCAUACAAAGAGUCGAUCUCCAGGUUUGCCUGGGUGCUGGACGACAGCGUCCUCUUGGCCCUCUCACACGCCGUGCGCAGCCGCCGCACCGCGCGCUUGUUCUGGCUGAUGUCCUUCUUGUGCUUCCUCUUGAACUCCUCCACGAAGUGGCUCACCAGCCGGUUGUCGAAGUCCUCCCCGCCCAGGUGCGUGUCGCCCGCCGUGGCCUUCACCUCGAAGAUGCCGUCGUCGAUCGUCAGGAUGGACACGUCGAACGUGCCGCCCCCCAAGUCGAAGAUGAGCACGUGCCGCUCUCCGUGACUUCCUUUAUCCAAGCCGUAGGCGAUGGCGGCCGCCGUGGGCUCAUUGAUUAUUCUCAGCACAUUGAGUCCUGCGAUGACACCUGCAUCCUUGGUGGCCUGCCGCUGAGAGUCAUUGAAAUAGGCUGGCACCGUGAUCACAGCGUUGGUGACAUUAUGGCCCAAAAAAGCCUCUGCAGUCUCCUUCAUCUUCGUCAGUACCAUGGAUGAAAUCUCCUCUGGGUAGAAGGCUUUCUUCUCUCCUUUAUAGGACACCAUCACCUUGGGUUUGCCCGCUUCAUUGAUCACUUGAAAUGGCCAAAGCUUCAUAUCUGACUGCACAACAGGAUCGUUAAACUUCCUGCCAAUUAGACGUUUGGCAUCAAAAACAGUGUUCUGGGGAUUCAUGGCCACCUGGUUCUUGGCGGCGUCUCCGAUGAGGCGCUCGGUGUCCGUGAAGGCCACGUAGCUGGGGGUCGUGCGGUUGCCCUGGUCAUUGGCGAUGAUCUCCACCUUGCCAUGCUGGAACACGCCCACGCACGAGUAGGUGGUGCCCAGGUCGAUGCCGAUCGCCAUUCCUUUAUUAGCAGCCAUGGUUUUCCGAGGUCUAUGGAGAAAGGAGACUUGAAAAUCAUAUUUAGGCUAGUUUUUUUUUUUUAAAUAAAACUUAAGCUAUUUAUUG